AGAGUUUGAUCAUGGCUCAGAACGAACGCUGGCGGCGUGCUUAACACAUGCAAGUCGAGUGCGCGCCUGUAGCAAUACAGGUGGCGCACGGCGCACGGGUGCGUAACACGUGGGUAAUCUGCCCUCUGAUGGGGAAUAACUCGCCGAAAGGCGAGCUAAUUCCGCAUAAUAUUCCGAAAACUUUGGUUUUUGGACUGAAAGGCGUAAGUCGUCGAAGGAGGAGCCCGCGCACGAUUAGCUAGUUGGUAGGGUAAUGGCCUACCAAGGCUUUGAUCGUUAGCUGGUCUGAGAGGAUGGCCAGCCACACUGGAACUGAGACACGGUCCAGACUCCUACGGGAGGCAGCAGUGGGGAAUCUUGCACAAUGGGCGAAAGCCUGAUGCAGCGACGCCGCGUGGGGGAUGAAGCUUCUCGGAGUGUAAACCCCUUUCGAUCCGGACGAAACCCCGCAAGGGAUUGACGGUACGGAUAUAAGAAGCCCCGGCUAACUACGUGCCAGCAGCCGCGGUAAUACGUAGGGGGCCAGCGUUGUUCGGAAUUACUGGGUGUAAAGGGUUCGUAGGCGGUGCGGCAAGUUGGGAGUGAAAUCUCUGGGCUUAACCCAGAGACGGCUUCCAAAACUGCUGUGCUUGAGUGUGGGAGAGGCUCGUGGAAUUGCAGGUGUAGCGGUGAAAUGCGUAGAUAUCUGCAGGAACACCCGUGGCGAAAGCGGCGAGCUGGACCACUACUGACGCUGAAGAACGAAAGCUAGGGGAGCAAACAGGAUUAGAUACCCCCGUAGUCC
rnacentral:rRNA from 1 species